rnacentral:lncRNA from 1 species
CUCUUGUUUCUCCAAAACCUGAUUGAUUUAAGCAUCACAGGAUUUUUCACUAAAUAAACUCUAGCAAGUGGACUUUCUUCUUUGACUUUAGAUCUAAGAUGCAUCAAGCAAGCUUUCUGACUAAGUUCAAGCCGGAUAGUUGCCAGCACUCUUUUAUCCGAUCGUUCAGCUUGGAUUCUAGCCAAUGGACCUCAGUGCUUCAUUUCACAUUUUAUCCGAUCCUGAAGAUUGAGUUCAGAUUUUACGUACAGCC